AGAGUUUUGAUGGCAGCCAUCCCUGGUGUGUUCCUUCCUGACCUGAGAUGCCAUGUUACACCAGCAGUUCUUCAUGUCACCUGGUUAGGAGACUGCCCUUAUCUUCCUGACUACUGUUUUCUGAAUGCAUGCUGGUUUGUCAAGAUCCCAAGAGUAAAUAUUUUCUAAGAAUGGAAACAAUAUGCCAGUGUGAAGGCCAUUCACAUUCCUGAAGGUGAUUAUUCGUUUGCUUCCUCUCAGACAUCUGAUGUCCCAAGAUCCUUUUCCCUAAGCAUCAGUAGAGUUGAAACUUCUUGCCUCUGUUCAAGUUUUGGAAACUAUAUUUGGAAUCUAG